AGCGUGAGCGAGGGUGCUUUGCACCUUUAACUUAGCGGCGGACGGGUGAGUAAUGCUUAGGAAUCUGCCUAUUAGUGGGGGACAACAUUCCGAAAGGAAUGCUAAUACCGCAUACGCCCUACGGGGGAAAGCAGGGGAUCUUCGGACCUUGCGCUAAUAGAUGAGCCUAAGUCAGAUUAGCUAGUUGGUGGGGUAAAGGCCUACCAAGGCGACGAUCUGUAGCGGGUCUGAGAGGAUGAUCCGCCACACUGGGACUGAGACACGGCCCAGACUCCUACGGGAGGCAGCAGUGGGGAAUAUUGGACAAUGGGCGCAAGCCUGAUCCAGCCAUGCCGCGUGUGUGAAGAAGGCCUUUUGGUUGUAAAGCACUUUAAGCGAGGAGGAGGCUACUUGGAUUAAUACUCUAGGAUAGUGGACGUUACUCGCAGAAUAAGCACCGGCUAACUCUGUGCCAGCAGCCGCGGUAAUACAGAGGGUGCGAGCGUUAAUCGGAUUUACUGGGCGUAAAGCGUGCGUAGGCGGCUUUUUAAGUCGGAUGUGAAAUCCCUGAGCUUAACUUAGGAAUUGCAUUCGAUACUGGGAAGCUAGAGUAUGGGAGAGGAUGGUAGAAUUCCAGGUGUAGCGGUGAAAUGCGUAGAGAUCUGGAGGAAUACCCGAUGGCGAAGGCAGCCAUCUGGCCUAAUACUGACGCUGAAGGUACGAAAGCAUGGGGGAGCAAACCAGGAAUUAGAUACCCUGGUAGUCCAUGCCGUAAACGAUGUCUACUAGCCGUUGGGGCCUUUUGAAGGCUUUAGUUGGCGCAGCUAACGCGAUUAA
rnacentral:rRNA from 1 species